rnacentral:misc_RNA from 1 species
CUUGAGACCAUAACAAAGAUAAUACUUCCUGAUGUGGAAACUGUCAACUAGCAUAGUUCAAUGAUGGUUGGAAGUUAUUUUGUUUAUUGUAUAUAUAAGCUAUUUUGUUUCUUUCAAUUGGUGUUUGAGAUUGUUGAUAUCUAAAUUCUUUUGGAAUGAGCUCACAGUAUGAAUAAUUUACUUGUUGCCACUCUGAGCCGUAUGUGGAUGUAUAUUGCAAUUUAUAUUAUUUUCUAGCUCUGUCAGAGGAAAUAAGUGCAACUGAUAAGCGGCCAGGUUUUGUACUUACCAAGGAAGGUGAA